UACAGAGGUCCCAAGCGUUGUUCGGAUUCACUGGGCGUAAAGGGUGCGUAGGCGGUUUGAUAAGUCUGAUGUGAAAUCCCGCAGCUUAACUGCGGAACUGCAUUGGAUACUGUUUGACUAGAGGAAUGGAGGGGAGACUGGAAUACUUGGUGUAGCAGUGAAAUGCGUAGAUAUCAAGUGGAACACCAGUGGCGAAGGCGAGUCUCUGGACAUUUCCUGACGCUGAGGCACGAAAGCCAGGGGAGUAAACGGG
rnacentral:rRNA from 1 species